UUUUUGCGUAAGGGAUAGAGGCGGUAUCCUCGUAGAGCAACGGAGAGAUAAAGCCGAAAGCCCGACCCGAA
rnacentral:misc_RNA from 1 species